CGGCAAUGAAUCGAAAUUUGUAUCGUCUUCGAACCAAGGAAUAGAAGAGAAAGAGCGGAGCAAUAAAUCGCAAUAUGAAGAUCUUCCACGAGGCAAAAGGUUGGCCCAGCAUAAACUCAAUGUCUCGCUGGAAUCGCUCUCGACCAUAGAUCCAAAGCACUGCCAUUAUCAACAUAAAGUGCAUAACGCUGUAAGUGACUAACGAGUCAACGGAUACGGCGGAAAAAAACAAAACACCG